UACAGAGGUCCCGAGCGUUGUUCGGAUUCACUGGGCGUAAAGGGUGCGUAGGUGGCGAGGUAAGUCGGAUGUGAAAGCUCGGAGCUCAACUCCGAAAUGGCAUUGGAAACUACCUUGCUCGAGGGUUGGAGGGGGGACUGGAAUGCUUGGUGUAGCAGUGAAAUGCGUAGAUAUCAAGCGGAACACCAGUGGCGAAGGCGAGUCCCUGGACAACUCCUGACACUGAGGCACGAAAGCUAGGGGAGCAAAC
rnacentral:rRNA from 1 species